rnacentral:rRNA from 1 species
AGCUCCAAUAGCGUACAUUAAAGUUGUUGCAGUUAAAACGCUUGUAGUUGGAUUUCUGGCUGUGCAUGGGGGUCGACUUUUUGAGUUGGCACCAUACAUGUCUGGCCAUUCUUUGGGAGAGCCACAGUGGCAUUAAGUUGUUGGUGUGGGGAUCUCAAUCCUUUACUGUGAAGAAAUUAGAGUGUUCAAAGCAGACUUACGUCGUUGAAUAUUUUAGCAUGGAAUAAUGACAUAGGACUUUUGUACUAUUUUGUUGGUUUGCGAGUAAAAGUAAUGAAUAACAGGGACAGUUGGGGGUAUUUGUAUUUCAUUGUCAGAUGUGAAAUUCUUGGAUUUUUGGAAGACAAACUACUGCGAAAGUAUUUACCAAAGAUGUUUUCA